AAGGGUGCAGUAGGAUGCUGUCUCUCUUCAUGACAGCUGUGUCCUCAGCUGAGAAAACCUCAAAGUUGAGUGUGACAACACGGGGGCCACUGAAAUCAUCUGAAGGCUAGUUCAUUCACAACUCUAUAGAUUGUGCUGGAUGCCUUCACCUCUAGACCCAGUUAGCUCUUCAGUAAUAUGAGUUUACUAAGGGAAUCUUUUCGAAGACUUUCCUCUCUCAACUCUGCUCUCAGAAAUGAAAAGGAAAUUUUCAAGUGUUAAAAAGGAAAUGCCCUCCAUGCUUCAUCUCUUUUAUUCCUUUUACAUUAAGCAUGUUGUGAUAAGAAGACAACCCCGGGAAGUGAAAACUCAAGGAGAACAGAACCAGAGAAUCAAAGAAAAAAAUCAGAAAAUUACAGAGUCUGAGAGGAGGCAGAGAACCAGAACACAUCAACAAGAGUGCCUGCAUCUAUUCACCUAUAAUUUUCACUGUCAAAAGAAGCAAUGACAAAAGACAAGUGGAUUUAUGCCUAAGUUACUGAG
rnacentral:lncRNA from 1 species